UCAUAUAGCAUGUUUAACAUUAUUUUAAUUAUGUUAGAUUAUAGUAAGCUUUGUUUAAUAUUAGAGUUCAUUGUUUGUCAAAAGGAGAGACCAUUUAUGUGUAUUGUUUGCACGGAAGAAUUAAGUGUUUAUCUACCACAAUUUAUUCUCUAGGAUAUUGGUAUUCUUAAGUUUCUCGUUUUCUAUUUUUGAAGUUUGGUCAUAUUGGUUCACAUGAUAAGAAACAUGUUUUUGUCCAUCAUUUGCAUUAUACAUUGCUUACUGUUUCCAGUCGCAUUUGCUCCUUUAGGAUGUUUGCCAUUGAGUUAUUGUUGGAUAUAUUGGCUUAUUCAAAGCUAUGUGACCACAAGUUGGUCAUGGGUUUAAUAUCAAAAAUUGAAAAUAGCUUUUCUGAUUUAUAGAAUUAGUCAUUCAAAGUCAGUGAAAUGCCAUAAAAAUGGGUUUGAGAAUCUUUUUUUGAUGUCUUUCUUCUUACUAUGUCUGGAAGACAAAAGUUUAAGUGGUAUAUCAAUUCAACUUAAUUGAUCCUCCUUUACAUCAAAUCAAUUUGUUACUCUGUACUUUCUCUUCACGUCGAAUUUAGUUUGUUAAUUUGGUUGAGUUUGGAUGAAUGUUACAUGAGCUAAUUAUGAAUUAGCUGAUUUGAUAGUUCCCAUUCAUGAUCUGUCUCUGAAAUCUUAAUGAAAGAUAUGGUUAUAUAUAAUUAAAAAUGGUUAAGUUCGUG
rnacentral:misc_RNA from 1 species